UGCACCAUCGUCAGUCUGUGUGCGCCCUUGUUUUUUAUACGUUUAUUUUUUUAGAUUUUAUUUUAUUUUUUUCCUUUCUAAAGAUCCGAAAGGGAUUUAAAAAUCUCCAAAGAAAAGAGGACGGCCAGCGGGUACGGAGAAGGAAAAUGAAGACAAAUGGCACCGCUGGAGCAGGUGCCUGUUCUGCAGCGUGUUGCGGGGCUGCCUUUGUCUUCUGGCUUUUGGGGACGUCUCGCUUUGCUCCCGGUUUGUCCCCCCUUCCCUGCAGGCGGUGCGGAGCCCAUUUCCCUUCCAUCACAUAAGCUCACUUGUUGGAUUAGCGGCCCCGGAUUGGGUGGGGAGACGAGGAAAACAUGUUGGCGAGCGCUGGAAGGGGGCUGGGAGGAAACAACCCUUGAAUUUCGCACAGUCUCUGUUACCACGUUGUUAAAGGAUGCUUCAUCCUGGGAGGUGGUGCGCCGGUAGGGACUCGCCAUAGAUCCCCUUUCCUCCCCUGCUAGAUCAUUCACGAAAUUCUUGUCUGAUCAGAAGCCGAGCGCAAUCAGUUCUGACUUCAAGAGAAAAAAAAAAUCCCCAACCCCUUAUUUUCUAUCCUUAAUUCCCUUCCCUGCAGCCCCGGGACAGGAUUCCACCCAGCUCAUUCGGUUCGUGUGGGGCGGGAUGGGGUGGGUGCUGGGGGGCCGUGGCCCGGGGCUGCAGACAAAGGGAUGUUUCCACCUUUUGCUGGGAGAGAUGCAGCCGCUUAUCUCAAGGAGAUUAAAGUGGCGAACACGCCUUCCAGCGGAAGUCACUAAUUCGGACCGGAGCGAUGCAGUUGCCAUGGCGACCCCGGUUUCCUGGGAAACCCCAAAAGGUUGUCAUGGCAUCCCUUCUCCCAUCCCCCUCGGCCCUCAACCCUUCCCUCAAGAGCCCUUCCAGAUGGUUCCAGCCUCACCACCCCACGGCUCUGCACCGCACAGGGACCCCACCCUGCACCCCCAUCCGUGCCCCCAUCCUACAGCCCAUCCCCACACCCAAACGCCCACCCGUAGGCAAUAAGCACGCCCCAGAUCCCCCCUAUCCCUCGCAAAGGAGUUCACACCUUGGCGGUGAGAUUUGGGAACCUGCAGACACGAGCGGAGAAAGGACCGCGCUCGCCCUGCCCUGCACGAAACCCCAAAGCAUCAUCCAAGGGCAGAAACGAAAGCUCAGCGGGGAAAGCGCUGCAGCCUUUGGAAACCGGGGGGACAAAUGCAGAGCUAGAAAGAGCAGGAUUGCAAAGUAAGCCCAAACCCGCCAGGGAAAACGUGCCUCCUUCAUCCUUCCGUGCACACCGGGGGCUGCAGGACAUCUGACGGGACCAGGCUGUGCACCGACGCUGUUGUUUCCUCUGCCCGACAGAGAGCAGGGAAGCUUCGGUUUGAGAGCUUCAGCACCGUGCUUGGGGAUGAAACACCUCUAAAGGAAAUGGCACCCGCUGGUGGAUGGAGCUCCCGCACCCCGUCCUGCUCCUCGCCUCGUCCGUGUCUUCUCGCAAGUGCAUUACGGAUGGAAGGUUCCUUUCAGCUCAUGUGCAAUACGACGAGACGCCGCCAAGCCAGGAGGAGAACAAAAAGACAGAGGUGGAAUUUGGUUGGACGCUAUUUCAGGGUUUGGGGUUUGGGUUUUUGUUUUCUUUUUUUGGUUAAAAAAGAACAACAGCAACUCUCGAGAGGUUGAGCAACCGGAAGGGAAACGCUGAGCAGAGCCGCCAAUGGGCUGUCCAAGUGUUCUGCUUGGGGCGGGGGCGAGACGGGGGCAAGCCGGUUGCUCUCAGCGCUCCCAGUGACACGGGCUGAUUUUGGCCAUAGGAAGCGAACAAGCUCUGUUCUAUUUUUCUGGCUUUCCUGCAUACGCUCUUUAUAAAUAGGUACGUGCUGCACCAAAGGCGUCCGUCCCUGCCUCCUGCAAUGGGAGCUGUGUCCCACCCCCCCACCCCUCACCAGGCUGCAGCCCCCCAGCACUGCAACGGAUGCCCAAAGGUGUCCAGUGUCUGGGGGUGAGGGCUGAGCCCCUUUCCAUCCCUGUGAGCCCCGUGUAACCCAGCGGUGCUCUCCUCCCACAGCGAUGGAUGGAGCUCGGAGGGACGAUGUCUCAUCCAGCCCUGCAGAACAGCUGCAAAGCGCUGGGUUUGCAGCCUUCCCGCUGCACUUAGCCUGGUCCUGAGGGUGCAAAAGAGGUCGAACAAACAAAUCCGCAGCGAUCCCAUAGGGGUGAGCUGUCUGCCUGUGGGGGGGUCGGGGCUGCAGACAGCCCAGCACCCCAGGAGCUGGGACCCAGCACCCCCAGCACCCCGGGCGGCAGGCAGGAGGAGAGCUGAUUUCCUCUUGGGAAGCCCAGGUCCCGGAGGAGUUGAAUUUAGUUUCUUUUGGAACAUUAAACAGUAGCCCUUAAAAGUGGGGAUAGAAUGUAUCAGUACAAAAGUUAUUUUUUUUCUUUCUCACUGGUGUUACCCUGAGGUUUUUCUGACCAGAUGUGUGUGCGUGCACUGUGGUUGUGCCUUGUCCAUUCUCAGUGAGCUCCGUGUUAAAGCAUCUCUCUGCUUGGGGCUGAAGGGGACGGGAAGAGCAGAACCCUUCUGCUGGGCUCUGAAGCAGCGAUGCUCCAGUGGGUGCCAGCAGCUCGCACCCAAACCCAACCUGCCCCAUGGGCACCCCAAGUGUCCCCGUCCAUUGCAGGCAGUUGGACCCCAUGGCCUCUAUGGGUCCCCUCCAACUCAAUUCCAUGAUUCUGUGACAUCUCCAACCCAUGGAAAUCACCCAGUUUCAACCUGUUCUCAAUGUUGUACAUACUGGCUCUGGCAACAAAACCGCCCUUCAGCCCACGUGUGCUCCACGCUGUUGGAUUUCUUUUGCUUGAUUGCUGACCCGGCUAAUUGUUAAUGUGCUUCCUCCAAAUAAGCAAGAGUUUGAUAGUCUUUAACUGUCGGUCCGGUGCAUUGUCUGCGUUGCCACGACUCCGAAUACAGCCCUGUGUGUUGUGUAGAUAACAUCAUAUCAGGACAGCCGUGCAGAAACGUCAUUUUGAGGGGAGAGCCGCAUUUGGCAAGGGAAGGCAAAUUAAAAAUGGAUCCAGUCGAUUAAAAAACAACAACAACAAAAAAAGAAAGGGAGCGAUUUAAUGACGGCUGACAGCAAGAGAAGAUCCAAAAAAAAAAAAAAAA